GCCAGCGUAGUGUAGUGGUUUGAGUGUUUGACUAGGACUUCAAGAGACCAGGGUUUGAAUCCCCACUUGGCC